rnacentral:rRNA from 1 species
AAUAGCCUAACGGCUGAACCAGCAACUUGGAGGAAUGUAUAGCAAUAGCUAGUUGCACCUAUUGCAAUAUCGACCCUGUCGAAUAAAAUUCUAGGUAGGAUUAUGAUAAUGACAUUACCUAUCUAUGUGUCUUGACCAAAUUACGUGCCAGCAGUCGCGGUAAUACGUAGAAGACUAGUGUUAUUCAUCUUUAAUAGGUUUAAAGGGUACCUAGACGGUAAAUAAAGCCUUCAGGGACUAAUUUGCUAGAGUUACUUGUGAGGGGGUAUUAAAGUACUAAUGGUGUAGAGAUGAAAUUUUGUAAUACCUUUUUUCGUAAGAAAGUAAUGGCACAGGUAUAGGCGAAAGCAUCCCCUUAUGUGAUAGCUUUGUGUAGCAAAGAGGAUUAGAUACCCUAGUAGUCAAAGCAGAAAAUGAUGAGUGUCAUAGAUUAGUUUAUUCUAUAAAUGAAAGUGUAAGCACUCCACCUCAAGAGUAAUUUGGCAACAUUGGAACUGAAAUCAUUAGACCGUUUCUGAAACCAGUAGUGAAGUAUGUUGUUUAAUUUGAUAACCCGCAAAAAACCUUACCAUGUAUGUUCACAAGCGUUGCACGGCUGUCUUCAGUUAAUGUCGUGAGACUAUGGUUAGUUCCAUUUAAUUAACGUAAACCCUAACUUUAUUUUCAAAUGAAGUUGUUCUCCGCUAUAUUGGAUAAGAUAACAGGGAUCAAGACAAGUCAUCAUGGCCUGAAUGUUGUAAGCCUUUACAAAAGGAUGUGAAAUUGCGAAAUUGAGCUAAUCCCCUAAAACUGGCUAUACAUUGACAUG